GGGUUGUGAGGUUAAGCGACUAAGCGUACACGGUGGAUGCCCUGGCAGUCAGAGGCGAUGAAGGACGUGCUAAUCUGCGAAAAGCGUCGGUAAGGUGAUAUGAACCGUUAUAGCCGGCGAUGUCCGAAUGGGGAAACCCAGUGUGAUUCGUCACACUAUCGUUAACUGAAUACAUAGGUUAACGAGGCGAACCGGGGGAACUGAAACAUCUAAGUACCCCGAGGAAAAGAAAUCAACCGAGAUUCCCCCAGUAGCGGCGAGCGAACGGGGAGCAGCCCAGAGUCUGAAUCAGCUUGUGUGUUAGUGGAACGGUCUGGAAAGUCCGACGGUACAGGGUGAUAGUCCCGUACACCAAAAUGCACAGGCUGUGAACUCGAAGAGUAGGGCGGGACACGUGGUAUCCUGUCUGAAUAUGGGGGGACCAUCCUCCAAGGCUAAAUACUCCUGACUGACCGAUAGUGAACCAGUACCGUGAGGGAAAGGCGAAAAGAACCCCGGCGAGGGGAGUGAAAAAGAACCUGAAACCGUGUACGUACAAGCAGUGGGAGCACCUUCGGGUGUGACUGCGUACCUUUUGUAUAAUGGGUCAGCGACUUAUAUUCUGUAGCAAGGUUAACCGUAUAGGGGAGCCGCAGGGAAACCGAGUCUUAACUGGGCGUUAAGUUGCAGGGUAUAGACCCGAAACCCGGUGAUCUAGCCAUGGGCAGGUUGAAGGUUGGGUAACACUAACUGGAGGACCGAACCGACUAAUGUUGAAAAAUUAGCGGAUGACUUGUGGCUGGGGGUGAAAGGCCAAUCAAACCGGGAGAUAGCUGGUUCUCCCCGAAAGCUAUUUAGGUAGCGCCUCGUGAACUCAUCUUCGGGGGUAGAGCACUGUUUCGGCUAGGGGGUCAUCCCGACUUACCAACCCGAUGCAAACUACGAAUACCGAAGAAUGUUAUCACGGGAGACACACGGCGGGUGCUAACGUCCGUCGUGAAGAGGGAAACAACCCAGACCGCCAGCUAAGGUCCCAAAGUCAUGGUUAAGUGGGAAACGAUGUGGGAAGGCACAGACAGCCAGGAUGUUGGCUUAGAAGCAGCCAUCAUUUAAAGAAAGCGUAAUAGCUCACUGGUCGAGUCGGCCUGCGCGGAAGAUGUAACGGGGCUAAACCAUGCACCGAAGCUGCGGCAGCGACACUAUGUGUUGUUGGGUAGGGGAGCGUUCUGUAAGCCUGCGAAGGUGUGCUGUGAGGCAUGCUGGAGGUAUCAGAAGUGCGAAUGCUGACAUAAGUAACGAUAAAGCGGGUGAAAAGCCCGCUCGCCGGAAGACCAAGGGUUCCUGUCCAACGUUAAUCGGGGCAGGGUGAGUCGACCCCUAAGGCGAGGCCGAAAGGCGUAGUCGAUGGGAAACAGGUUAAUAUUCCUGUACUUGGUGUUACUGCGAAGGGGGGACGGAGAAGGCUAUGUUAGCCGGGCGACGGUUGUCCCGGUUUAAGCAUGUAGGCUGGUUGUCCAGGCAAAUCCGGAUAAUCAAGGCUGAGGUGUGAUGACGAGGCACUACGGUGCUGAAGUAACAAAUGCCCUGCUUCCAGGAAAAGCCUCUAAGCAUCAGGUAACAUCAAAUCGUACCCCAAACCGACACAGGUGGUCAGGUAGAGAAUACCAAGGCGCUUGAGAGAACUCGGGUGAAGGAACUAGGCAAAAUGGUGCCGUAACUUCGGGAGAAGGCACGCUGGUGUGUAGGUGAAGUCCCUGCGGAUGGAGCUGAGACCAGUCGAAGAUACCAGCUGGCUGCAACUGUUUAUUAAAAACACAGCACUGUGCAAACACGAAAGUGGACGUAUACGGUGUGACGCCUGCCCGGUGCCGGAAGGUUAAUUGAUGGGGUUAUCCGUAAGGAGAAGCUCUUGAUCGAAGCCCCGGUAAACGGCGGCCGUAACUAUAACGGUCCUAAGGUAGCGAAAUUCCUUGUCGGGUAAGUUCCGACCUGCACGAAUGGCGUAAUGAUGGCCAGGCUGUCUCCACCCGAGACUCAGUGAAAUUGAACUCGCUGUGAAGAUGCAGUGUACCCGCGGCAAGACGGAAAGACCCCGUGAACCUUUACUAUAGCUUGACACUGAACAUUGAGCCUUGAUGUGUAGGAUAGGUGGGAGGCUUUGAAGCGUGGACGCCAGUCUGCGUGGAGCCAACCUUGAAAUACCACCCUUUAAUGUUUGAUGUUCUAACGUUGGCCCCUGACCGGGGUUGCGGACAGUGUCUGGUGGGUAGUUUGACUGGGGCGGUCUCCUCCCAAAGCGUAACGGAGGAGCACGAAGGUUAGCUAAUCCUGGUCGGACAUCAGGAGGUUAGUGCAAUGGCAUAAGCUAGCUUGACUGCGAGCGUGACGGCGCGAGCAGGUGCGAAAGCAGGUCAUAGUGAUCCGGUGGUUCUGAAUGGAAGGGCCAUCGCUCAACGGAUAAAAGGUACUCCGGGGAUAACAGGCUGAUACCGCCCAAGAGUUCAUAUCGACGGCGGUGUUUGGCACCUCGAUGUCGGCUCAUCACAUCCUGGGGCUGAAGUAGGUCCCAAGGGUAUGGCUGUUCGCCAUUUAAAGUGGUACGCGAGCUGGGUUUAGAACGUCGUGAGACAGUUCGGUCCCUAUCUGCCGUGGGCGCUGGAGAAUUGAGGGGGGCUGCUCCUAGUACGAGAGGACCGGAGUGGACGCAUCACUGGUGUUCGGGUUGUCAUGCCAAUGGCACUGCCCGGUAGCUAAAUGCGGAAGAGAUAAGUGCUGAAAGCAUCUAAGCACGAAACUUGCCCCGAGAUGAGUUCUCCCUGAGACUUUAAGUCUCCUGAAGGAACGUUAAAGACGAUGACGUUGAUAGGCCGGGUGUGUAAGCGCAGCGAUGCGUUGAGCUAACCGGUACUAAUGAACCGUGAGGCUUAACCUUACAACGCCGAAG
rnacentral:rRNA from 1 species